GGGUUGUUGGCAGAAUGGUUUUUGCAGCCGCCUUUUAAGCGGAUGGAUCGAGGUUCAAUUCCUCGACAACCCA
rfam:Oscillatoriales cyanobacterium TSR001 contig_28, whole genome shotgun sequence.